CGGCACAUUCAUCGCGCUGUAUCUGCUGAACCGCUGCCAUCAUGGCCAACGAUCCGGGUGAGCAAAAUUUCAGGUGUGUGAGAAAUGUGUUUAGCA
rnacentral:pre_miRNA from 1 species